rnacentral:pre_miRNA from 1 species
AAUAGAUGACGCCGUUGACUUUUUCUCAUAUGUUUAACCAUUCGUCUUAUUUAAAAAAUUUAUUUAAUUAUAAUUUAUUUUGUUAUGAGUUGUUUUAUCACUCAUAGUACUUCAAGUAUAAUUUAUAUCAUAUACAUUUGCAUAAAAUUUUUGAAUAAGACGAAUGGUCAAACAUGUGAGAAAAAAUCAACGGCGUCAUCUAUU